CAACAGGGAUUGCCCUAGUAACGGCGAGUGAAGCGGCAACAGCUCAAAUUUGAAAUCUGGCCUUCUGGUCCGAAUUGUAAUUUGUAGAGGAUGCUUUUGGUUAGGUACCUUUCGAGUUCCUUGGAACAGGACGCCUUAGAGGGUGAGAGCCCCGUACGAUUGGAUACCGAGCCUCUGUAAAGCUCCUUCGACGAGUCGAGUAGUUUGGGAAUGCUGCUCUAAAUGGGAGGUAAAUUUCUUCUAAAGCUAAAUACCGGCCAGAGACCGAUAGCGCACAAGUAGAGUGAUCGAAAGAUGAAAAGCACUUUGAAAAGAGGGUUAAAUAGUACGUGAAAUUGUUGAAAGGGAAGGGCUUAUGACCAGACCUUUGCCUUGCGGAUCAUCCGGUGUUCUCACCGGUGCACUCCGCUUGGUUGAGGCCAGCAUCAGUUUUGGCGGCCGGAUAAAGACUUCAGGAAUGUGACUCCUCCGGGAGUGUUAUAGCCUGCUGUGUAAUACGGCCGCUGGGACUGAGGACCGCGCUUCGGCUAGGAUGCUGGCAUAAUGGUCAUCAGCCACCCGUCUUGAAACACGGACCAAGGAGUCGAACAUUUAUGCGAGUUUUUGGGUGUUAAACCCUCAAGCGUAAUGAAAGUGAACGGAGGUGAGAGCCCUUACGGGUGCAUCAUCGACCGAUCCUGAUGUCUUCGGAUGGAUUUGAGUAAGAGCAUAACUGUUCGGACCCGAAAGAUGGUGAACUAUGCGUGGAUAGGGUGAAGCCAGAGGAAACUCUGGUGGAGGCUCGCAGCGGUUCUGACGUGCAAAUCGAUCGUCAAAUCUGCGCAUGGGGGCGAAAGACUAAUCGAACCAUCUAGUAGCUG
rnacentral:rRNA from 1 species